rnacentral:rRNA from 1 species
UACGUAGGGGGCAAGCGUUGUCCGGAAUGACUGGGCGUAAAGGGUGCGUAGGUGGUUGUCUAAGUUGGAAGUGUAAUACCCAGGGCUUAACCCGGGUGCUGCUUCCAAGACUGGAUGACUUGAGUGCAGGAGAGGAAAGCGGAAUUCCUAGUGUAGCGGUGGAAUGCGUAGAUAUUAGGAGGAACACCAGAGGCGAAGGCGGCUUUCUGGACUGUAACUGACACUGAGGCACGAAAGCGUGGGGAGCAAA